UGUCCAGUGAGAAUCGAAACGGAUCACCUCGCUCUCUCUCCUAGUCUCGGUAAAACCUCACACAAACAGACCCCUUCUAAUUUUACCGGACCGUUCUCUCUGCAAUUCGCUAGCUGGACUUCAUCGUCUCCGAAAACCCUAGUUUCACUUUGCAGUUCUGUAGCCACCUAUAAAUCCUAGCCAUACACUUGGAUGUGUCUUGGGGAACUGACUCCUGAACUGACAUGGGCUUUGAUAUUGAGUGCAUAAUUGACAUCCAUACUUAUCCUGGGGAGUAUUUUUGUCCAGUUUGCCGAACUCUUGUCUACCCAAAUGAAGCACUACAGUCACAAUGCACUCAUCUCUAUUGCAAAGCUUGUUUGCCACUUGUUUCUAAUGGGAGCAAGGCCUGUCCAUAUGAUGGGUACUUAGUGCUUGAAGCAGAUUCCAAGCCUCUUAUUGAAUCAAACAAGACACUUGCUGAGAGCAUAGGCAAAGUCAAAGUGCGCUGUCUCUUUCAUAAAAGUGGAUGCACAUGGGAGGGCAUUUUAUCUGAGUGUACCUCUCAUUGUUCAGGGUGUGCUUUUGGGAAUUCACCAGUUAUCUGCAACAGAUGCGGAGUGCAAAUUGUGCAUCGACAAGUGCAUGAGCAUGCUCAGAGUUGUCCUGGUGUAUAUCAAGUGCAACAGACAGCAGAAGUUAAUUCUAACUCUCAGUCUGGAGCACCAGCUACUAGUACUGCAGGUGCUGACCAGAAUCGACAAGCUGCUCAACCUGGACCAUUAGCUUCUCAGGUUCAGAAUCCACAAACUACUGCUGCUCCUCAGCUUCCUGGGCAAGAUCUCAAUCAGCAAACUAAUACCAACUCUCAGGCUCCAGCUGCUGUGGCAACUCCUGAACAGUGGUACCAACAACAGUACCAGCAAUACUAUCAGCAGUAUGCUGGAUAUGACCCUUAUCAGCAGUCUUAUCAACAGUACUAUCCUUAUCAACAAGGCAUGCAACAAUAUCAGCAACAACCCUCGCAUGUGCAAGGGCAACCCCAGCCUCAAGUUUAUACCCAACCUCAGGCUCAGUCCCAGGCACAAUCGCAACCUCAUUCCCAGGCACAACCUCAACUGCCGGCUCAAUCUCAGCCUCAAGCCCAAGUUCCAACACAAGUGCAGGUCCAACCACAUCCACACAUUCAACCGUCAGCUACACAGCAUCAGAACCAAAGUCAAAUGAACCCACAACAACAAUUUCAAUCUCCUGUACAAUCUCAUGCCCAAGUUCCAUCACAGUCUUAUCCACCUGUUCAUGGUCAGCCUCCUCAGCCCUACUCUGUGCAGCCACAUCCACAACAUAUGCAGGUCUCUCAUUAUCAGCAGCCUUCUGCACAAAUGCAUAAUGCCCAGCCUCCAGUCUUACCCCAACCACAUUCACAAGUCCAACCACAACUAAGCAUGCGCCCUCCUCAGUCCAGCCAGCCUGCAGUUCCCAAUGUCCAGCCUCAGACCCUACAUCCUACACCUCAUCCUGUCACAGGACACCAGUCCUACCCACAACCUCAACCUGCACAUCAAAUGCCAGUGGGGGCUGUGGCUAGUGGGUCUUUCCCUUCUGUUCAAGCCCAAGGUCAGAUUCUGCAGCAACGGCCAAUGAUGCACCCUCCACCUGCUCCUAAUGCCAAUCAACAACAGGGUAUGUUGGCUCCUCAAGGUCAAGUUCUUCCUCAGCAAUCCCAUCUUUACCCUAAUACUCAACAUCCAGGCGCUCCAAUUCAGUCACGUCCUCCUCAAGCAAUUCAACAACUGGUGCCUCAGCAGCCUUUUGCUGGUCCAUUCCCAAGCCAUUCACACCAGCAAGGUCCCUAUGGGCAGCAGCAACAGUCUCACUUACAUCCACCUGGUCCUCCUCAUAUGGUACCUCAAAGUUCUCAUGCUUCUGUCCAGUCACAGCCAAAUGUUGCUUUAGGGCCUGGUAUGCAUCCUCAACCACCGCAAAAUUAUUUUGGAAGACCAGUAAUGCAAAAUCAAGGGUUGCAGCUUCAGCCAGUGCCUCUUGCUCCUAGUGGGUCUGGUAUUGCACCUCCAGUUCGCACAAUGCAACAUGGUUUAAACCAACCACCAAUUAGUCAAAGUUAUGCAAACUCUGUGAAUAACCAGCUUCAAAUUUCUACAGAUCAAAAGAAACCUGUAGUGCAUGAAAGCCAACCUGACCCCUCAUCUGUGAAACCUGAAAGUAGUGCAGAAGUCACCAUAACUUCCCAAAGCAAUGCUGACAAGGAUGCCACUGUUCUUGAAACUGAAUCAUUUGAAACUAAUGGUACAAAACUGGAAACAGGCUUGAGUAGUGAACAAGAUGCAGCAAAGGAGUGUGCUAAAACUGAGCACCCUGAAAAGGGCAAUUCUAAUGACCCUGUAAUGAAGCAAACUGUUAAGGAAGAGCAUACUGAGAAUGCUUUGGAGCUGUCUUCUGGAGCCAAAUCAGCUGAUGCUGAAGUUGUGAUAGAGAGAGCUUCCUUUGGGAGAGUGCCUGGUCAUUUUCCCCUGUCUAGAGGCAUUGACACACAGUCUAAUACUUCUCAGGGAUUCCCUUUGAAUGCUUUACCUUCUGGCUCAACUGAAAUUCGAGAUGGAAUGGGAAGAGCAUCCCUAACUGGUCCUGAAGGUCGCUUUGGCCCACAGCAUGCACCUUUAAAUGUUCCUGAAGGUCACUUUGGGCAGCAGCAUAUGUCUAAUCCAAUGGAAGCUGAAAUGUUUCAGAACAGAAGGAUGAAUGGCUUUGAUAGAGGACUGCCAUAUCAUACUGAAGCAUCUCGUGAUGAAAGGUUGAAAGUCACAGGUGGGGAGCCCCCAGGAGCUUUUCCGGUAGAACCACGUUGGCCUAUUGAUCAAGCUGUACCAGGUCCUCUUGACAAGGUGCCUCGUGGGUUUGGCUAUGAUGGUAAUGCUGUUGCACCAUCUAGAUUACCAUCCUCAUAUCACCCUCCUGGUGCUCCAUACAUUAAUAACAGUGCAGAAAGAGAAGUGCGACAUGGUCUUCUUAAUGAUGAGAGAAGAAAUGCUGAUUUUGUUCACAGGCAUUCUGACUUUAUGGGACCAGGCCCUGGAUUUGGUCCGCGGCACAUGGAUCGCUUGACACCUAGAAGUCCUGACAGAGAAUUCUUUGGCAUCCCACCACGUGGAUAUCUUCCUCGUGGUCGUGCAGGAUUUGAUGAUGUUGACGGCAGAGAAGCACAAACAUUUGCUGGAGGGUCCAGACCUUUUGGCCUUCCUACUAAUCCAGUUAGUAACUCAUUUCAUGAAGACAGGUUCCAUGCUUUGCAUCGUCACCCACAGGGAGAUGCCGUCAAUGAGCAUGUGGCAGUUGGUCCUCCCCAUAACCACUUCAGGGGAGGUGAGCUCUUUGGGAAUGAUGUGCCCAGUCAUUUGAGAAUGGUUGAUCCUUUGGGUCCUCGGAAUUUACCAAGUCAUUUGCAUGUGGGAGAGCCUGCAGGUUUUGGUCCAUUUCCAGGUCCUGGAAAUUUGUCUCAUCUACCUUUUAGUGAAUCAUUUGGGGGCAACAAGCCAGGUAUGCCGCGUCUUGGGGAGCCUGGUUUUAGGAGCAGAUAUUCUCUCCACAGAGUUUCUAAUGAAGGAACUUAUAUGGGUGAUGUUGACUCCUUUGAUAGAUCAAGGAAGAGGGCUUCUUUUAGCAUGGGUUGGUGUCGCAUUUGCAAGGUUGACUGUGAAACUGUGGAGGGCUUGGAUAUGCAUUCACAAACAAGAGAGCACCAGAAUAUGUCUAUGGAUAUGGUUAGAAAUAUCAAGGAACAGAACAGAAAGAGACAGUAGAAUCGUGCAGCAGUUGAAGAGGGAGGGAAGAAAAGAAAUGCUGCUUUUGAGGGUUGUGGUAACAAGCCUUGAGUCUAACAGCAUUUGCAGGGAUUAAAAUGUGGUUUGCCUUUCCAUGCCUUUCUUCCAUCACUGGGGUAUUUUAUCCUAGUUUUGUCAUUUCAGGUUGCUGGCCCUGUUUUGGGAGAUGGUUUUGGAACUCACAUUCUGUUGCAAUCUUUUCGAUUGAACCUGCCUUUUUUGGGUGAUGCUGAAAAGAGAAAAGGAUGACUUCAACCGAGAAAACUCACAUUUUUGUUGGGUGGAUGUGAUGAAGGCUAUAUCUAUGGUGGGCAAUUUUUGUGAUGCACCCUUUGGUUCACAGCUCGAUAUCAAAGACAAUUGCAAUGUGUGGUCACCAGGGUAAUUUGGCUUUCUUUUCGCACUUUUUUUUUUUUCUUCCUUUUGUAUUGGGGGUGAUAUGGCUCUGCGUGCAUCAUAUUCAGUGAUUGAGCAAAUUAUAUUAUGCACCCCGGCCGGGUUCAUAUUGUAAGAUGGACCCUGAUACAUGUUUAUACAAUUUUAGUGUAUACAAGUUCAAAAUGUAUACUAAAAAUAAACUUUUAUUAGGGGUUCAUAUUGUAAGAUGGCCCCGCUCCAGAAUAUAACCAUUGUACAUUGGCAAAAUACUGAAUCUUGCAGAUUUACAGAAUUCUAUAGUUGUAAUAGAAAAAACAGUUAAAUGCAUUUUCAUA